AGCACCGCUCGUUAGUGGGAAGAGGAAGUUGUUCAAUGAGUUGUUGACAUCCAAAGAGUAAUUAUGAUAGAAAAGCAUCACCUUUUCUGGCAAAAGAAUUACUUAGAAUUCAUACAAAGGAGAAAAUUUGGAAGGAGCAACUCUGGAAAAAUGGCAUUGUAAAAUCAUCUCCAAUGCCACCACGGACACGUCCUGAAUGCGUGGGGACUGAGGAGGAUCCUAAGUGCAUUAUAUGUCAGCAAUAUCUUUAUCUUUCUGCAGUUGUAUGUGAUUGUAGGCCAUCUGCUUUUGUUUGUCUUGAGGUAUGUGGAAACUGUGUUCUGGUUUAUUAUCCUGUCAAAUUAGUUGAUUUGUAGUGCAAAUACA